rnacentral:rRNA from 1 species
GACGAACGCUGGCGGCGUGCUUAACACAUGCAAGUCGAACGGAAAGGCCCUGCUUUUGUGGGGUGCUCGAGUGGCGAACGGGUGAGUAACACGUGAGUAACCUGCCCUUGACUUUGGGAUAACUUCUGGAAACUGGGGCUCAUACCGGAUAGGAGCUCCUGCUGCAUGGUGGGGGUUGGAAAGUGUCGGCGGUGGGGGAUGGACUGGCGGCUUAUCAGCUUGUUGGUGGGGUAGUGGCUUACCAAGGCUGUGACGGGUAGCCGGCCUGAGAGGGUGACCGGCGACAUUGGGACUGAGAUACGGCCCAGACGCCGACGGGAGGCAGCAGUGGGGAAUAUUGCACAAUGGGCGGGAGCCAGAUGCAGCAACGCCGCGUGCGGGAUGACGGCCUUCGGGGUGUAAACCGCUUUCGCCUGUGACGAAGCGUGAGUGACGGUAAUGGGUAAAGAAGCACCGGCUAACUACGUG